UACGUAGGGCGCAAGCGUUAUCCGGAAUUAUUGGAGCGUAAAGAGCUCGUAGGCGGUUUGUCGCGUCUGCCGUGAAAGUCCGGGGCUCAACUCCGGAUCUGCGGUGGGUACGGGCAGACUAGAGUGAUGUAGGGGAGACUGGAAUUCCUGGUGUAGCGGUGAAAUGCGCAGAUAUCAGGAGGAACACCGAUGGCGAAGGCAGGUCUCUGGGCAUUAACUGACGCUGAGGAGCGAAAGCAUGGGGAGCGAACAGG
rnacentral:rRNA from 1 species